UACGUAGGGGGCGAGCGUUGUCCGGAAUCAUUGGGCGUAAAGCGCGUGUAGGCGGCUUGGUAAGUCCGGUGUGAAACCUUGGGGCUCAACCCCAAGCCUGCACUGGAUACUGCCUCGCUUGAGUCCGGGAGGGGAGAGCGGAAUUCCUAGUGUAGCGGUGAAAUGCGCAGAUAUUAGGAGGAACACCGGUGGCGAAGGCGCCACUCUGGGCCGAAACUGACGCUGAGGAGCGAAAGCAUGGUAGCAAACAGGG
rnacentral:rRNA from 1 species